GACGAACGCUGGCGGCGUGCUUAACACAUGCAAGUCGAACGGAAAGGCCCUGCUUUCGUGGGGUGCCCGAGUGGCGAACGGGUGAGUAACACGUGAGUAACCUGCCCUUGACUUUGGGAUAACUUCAGGAAACUGGGGCUAAUACCGGAUAGGAGCUCCUGCUGCAGGGUGGGGGUUGGAACGUCUCGGCGGUUGGGGAUGGACGCGCGGCUUAUCAGCUUGUUGGUGGGGUAGUGGCUUACCAAGGCUUUGACGGGUAGCCGGCCUGAGAGGGUGACCGGCCACAUUGGGACUGAGGUACGGCGCAGACUCGUAUGUUAGGCAGCGGGGGGAAAUAUUGCACAGUGGGCGGGAGCCUGAUGCAGCAGCGCCGCGUUCGUGAAGACGGCCUUCGGGUUGUAAACCGCUUUCGCCUAUGACGAAGCUGUAGUGACGGUAAUGAGUGAAGAAGCACCGGCUAACUACGUG
rnacentral:rRNA from 1 species